UACAGAGGGGGCAAGCGUUAUUCGGAAUUAUUGGGCGUAAAGGGCGCGUAGGCGGCUUCGCAAGUCCGGGGUGAAAGCCCCCAGCUUAACUGGGGAAGUGCCUCGGAUACUGCGGAGCUUGAGGGAGGUAGGGGCGGAUGGAACUUCCGGUGGAGCGGUGAAAUGCGUUGAUAUCGGAAGGAACAUCAGUGGCGAAAGCGACUUCCUGUACCAAUACUGACGCUCAUGUGCGAAAGCGUGGGGAGCAAACAGG
rnacentral:rRNA from 1 species